rnacentral:rRNA from 1 species
UACGGGGGAUGCGAGCGUUAUCCGGAUUUAUUGGGUUUAAAGGGUGCGUAGGCGGGAUGCCAAGUCAGCGGUAAAAAUGCGGUGCUCAACGCCGUCGAGCCGUUGAAACUGGCGUUCUUGAGUGGGCGAGAAGUAUGCGGAAUGCGUGGUGUAGCGGUGAAAUGCAUAGAUAUCACGCAGAACUCCGAUUGCGAAGGCAGCAUACCGGCGCCCUACUGACGCUCAGGCACGAAAGCGUGGGUAUCGAACAGG